rnacentral:rRNA from 1 species
UGGCGGCGUGGUUAAGACAUGCAAGUCGAACGGAACAUUAUGAGUAGCAAUACAAGUAGUGUUUAGUGGCGAACGGGUGCGUAACACGUGGAUACAUUCCGGGAAGCGGGGGAUAGCCCAGGGAAACUUGGAUUAAUACCGCAUGUGAUCGAGAGAUCAAAGACGGGGACCGCAAGGCCUGUCACUUCCCGAUUGGUCCGCGGCCUAUCAGCUAGUUGGCGGGGUAAAAGCCCACCAAGGCGACGACGGGUAGCUGGUCUGAGAGGACGACCAGCCACACUGGAACUGAGACACGGUCCAGACACCUACGGGUGGCAGCAGUCGAGAAUCUUUCACAAUGGGGGCAACCCUGAUGGAGCGACGCCGCGUGGAGGAUAAGGUCUUCGGAUUGUAAACUCCUGUCAUGUGUGAACAAGGUUGCGGGGCUAAUACCUUUGCAAAUUGAUGGUAACACAAGAGGAAGAGACGGCUAACUCUGUGCCAGCAGCCGCGGUAAUACAGAGGUCUCAAGCGUUGUUCGGAAUCACUGGGCGUAAAGGGUGCGUAGGUGGCGUGGUAAGUCAGAUGUGAAAGCCCGGGGCUCAACCUCGGAAUUGCAUCCGAUACUGCCAUGCUUGAGUACUGAAGAGGUGACUAGAAUUCUAGGUGUAGCAGUGAAAUGCGUAGAUAUCUAGAGGAAUACCAAAGGCGAANGCAGGUCACUGGGCAGUUACUGACACUGAGGCACGAAGGCCAGGGGAGCGAACGGGAUUAGAUACCCCGGUAGUCCUGGCAGUAAACGGUGCACGUUUGGUAUGGGCGCAAUCGACCGCGCCCGUGCCGGAGCUAACGCGUUAAACGUGCCGCCUGGGAAGUACGGUCGCAAGAUUAAAACUCAAAGAAAUUGACGGGGACCCGCACAAGCGGNGG